CCCUACUUCCUUCUUCUGUCUUGCUGAGCACAUUCUGACUUUCACAAAUCUGUGGGCUCAAAGGGAAGCACACCUAUUAGUAUUCACUGCUGAGUCAUUUCCAGAGCUGGCAAACUGAGCCUUUCCAGCUCUGGAAGAUUAUAAACAUAAACACUCUUUUCCACAGGAGAGACUGCCAAAACACAGAGCUGAUUUGCCCACGAAUUUAAGCAUGGCAGUGGUAAAUAUAUAUAUGUGUAUAAAGUCAAUAACAAUGGCAGCUUAUUAUUUAAUUUUAUUAACAGACAAAAAUUGAGAGUUAAGAGCUAUACUUUUGCUAUCUAGGUGACAUGAGCUUAAGCAUUUACCCCAUCGCCCAGCACAAGAGAUCAUGUUUCAAAAAUGAAAAACUUUCAGGAAGGCCUCUUUCCAUUUGUAUUUAAAAACCAAAUGUUUCCAACAGAGAAUUAUCUCCCUUAGAAAGAGAAACCACUUUAGUCAAUAAAAAUAUUAACCCUAAACAUCUGCUAAGAGUCUCACAUGCAUUAUUGCACAUAUUGUUCACAUUAAAUCUAUGAACCAUAAUACUGUUAUAAACUUAUAUCUAUUUUGAAGUGAUUUAACCAGCCCGAGGUCACAGGGCUAGUUAAUGGUGGAGCCAGGAAUCAUGCUAUGUUUGCCUGACCCUGGAACCAGCGAGGGCCCCUAAGCACUGUACUUGAAGGCCUCAGGUGACAGCAAAGCCAGUCCCAGUGACCGUUCAAUCUAAAUAUAUAAUUAAAUCAAAACCAAAGAUGAAAACUGAAAAACAAAUAUACCCAGAUUUGUACAGCUUUGUAUUUGUAUAGCUCUUUGUUAGUUACAAAUGGUCCCUUUAUAAGUUGUCUCAGUCCAUCCUAUGUAGGAGUGGGUGAGACUUUAUAUCACUUUAUAGAUGAAGGAGGAGAGGUUAUACGACUUCACUGAAUGCCCCCAGGUAAUAACGAAUAGAGCCUGGACUCCACCUUCUGACUGUAGAUCCUUGUUCUGUCCCCUGCUCUCCUUGACUUUCUAGGAGAAAACCUCCUCUUCUAUACUUAGAGACUUGUUACCCAUUGACAGAGUAUCUUCUAAGUGUCAAUUACUCUGGUAGCUGUUGUGAGCACAGGGGUCUUAGAUAAACACAGACACUAUCCCUCCUCUCUGGAGGUCAGAGACACAGAUAAAAAACAAAUAAAUACAUACGACGUUAGUGCCCUGGUGGUGUUCGUGCCACAGACGAAAUUAAAAUAUGUGCAGUAGAUAGGGAGAGUCAGGCUGGGGAGAGGGUUGAGGUUUUAACUUGGGUGGUGUGAGGAGAUUGCUCUGCUAAAGAGAUACUUGAAUACCUGGAAGAAGUGAGAAGUUCCAGCCGUGCGCUUAUCAGGAGUGACUGCACGUGCCAAGGCCCUGAGGUGAUAGGAGGAUUCUUGACGUGUAUGAGGAAUAAGAAGGAGGCCAUGGGAGCUGCAUCAACCAGGCAGCGGAUGAGUCUACAACUCUGAGGGUUGUGUCUUCCACCGUGGAGGGCAAGGACCGGCAAGUUCAGCAAAUCCGAGGCUUUGGUGCUGACAGACAGGCACGUGGAGGGAACCGCCCUCGGCAGGUAGAGAAGGGGCCCUGAAGGAGCGGGAACUCAAAAGUGAUUCAGGCACAGAUUAUGUUCAGCCUCUCCUUAAAGGAGUGAACUGUGUAUCGUAAAUGUGAUGAGCAUUCCCUGAGGACGGUGAAGCCCGACUGGAUGAGCACCAGUUACAAGCAUUUGAGGAAAAGCCCUCAGCAGGAAAUGGCCGUCUCUCUCCACAGACUGAAACCUUCCUGGCAGAGACCACGCGUUUUUAUCCUAUUUCCCAGAAGAGCUCGGCUGCUCUGGGUCCGCGUAUAUGAAUUAUCUAGAGUGAAGUCAGAUGGGGCAAAGUCAUGCGAGUCUUUUUAAUUAAUAGGAUUCCUAAGUUCUCAUUGGAAGGCAGCCCUAUGCAUCCCAUUUUUUCCCUAUUUGACAUUUAUGUAGCCCUCUUUACCAUGUAAAAUAUCUUAUCCCUUUGUAUUGUCACAGCAAAACUGUGAAGUAGGGGAGUACGAGCGAUAUCGUCUUUCUCUCUUUCCCUCCCUCCCUUGAGGAAAUGGAAAGUGAAAUGGUAUUUGAUAUGAUGGGAAGUGCUGGAACUCCAGAGACCUCAGUGGCUUCCUCUGUGUGGCCUGGUCAGACCCCGCCAGAAGGGGACACGGUGGCAGGUCAGGCUGUGACAGUGUGGGGCGGGACAACGGGGGCCCUUCCGGAAUCUGCAGGCCCUCUGUGCGGCCCUGUUGGCUCCCAGGCCACGUGGGUGGUGGACGGAGCAUCUGGAGACCAGGGUCCAGGACCCGAAGAACACAGAGCAUCUGAACAAACUUGGGGAAAUCACGCUCCCGCUUCAGCCUGCCCUUCUCUCAUCGGUAAAGGGGGGAGUAACGUUACAUUUAUUUAAGUAACAUUUCUAUAGGUCUUAUUUCCGGCCAGUUGUGGUUAUAAGCACUCUACAGACAUUAACUUGGUUAAUUCUGCAGGCGACCCCCUGAGGUAGGUCAUACUAUUAUCGGCAUUUUGCUGGUGGGGAAGGGAAGCCGCGGGAGGGUGAAGCAGCUUGCUCAGGGCCGCAAGCUAGUGCCUGGUAGGGCCGGAAUUCAAAUCCGAGCAGGCUGGCUCCAUCUUCUGGCUUUAAGCUCUCGCUCUGCCGCCUCCAGUGCAAGAUCUCUACGUUCCCUCUUAGCCCUCCCAUCUGGCGAGGGUAAUUUUAUGAGCUGAGAUUUCAGCCCAUACGGGGAACUCUUGCUCUAAUCCAUUACACCAAACUGCACGCUCUGAUCUGAUCACCCGGCCUUCCCUUGAGGCAGUGUUGGCGUCGGAAAUGUCCACUGUGUGAGUUGGCCGGGAUGCUGACUUACACAGAAGUGAGAACUCAGGGCCUCUGUGUACACUGAUAUCACCAGUGAUUUCUACUUUUAAGCUAGGAGACUGUAGGUGCUGAUGUAGGUGAGGUGCCUGGCCCUGGGACCCCCUCUCCUUUCUCAUGAGCUCCCCUGCUCCCCUGUUGGUUCCACUCACCUCUGCUGGGAUGACCCCAAACUGUGUCGUUAGCGCUCACUCCCCACAAGGUUAAGUUAGAUUAAGGAGGAACCACAAGCACACCUCCUCUCCUGCUGCCCGCUGGCCCUCUCUCCUCCCCCGAAAGCUGGAACACGCUCACAGCGCCCCACAAAGAAGUAGAGCCCCCUGCACAUAAGUCUGCAACCCACACUGAGGCCGGACCUGCCGGGGGUUCUUUUCCAGCCCCUACUUCAAUUCAUCUCUCGAGGGGCCCACGGGAAGCUCCACCCCUCCUCUGGGGACCUCUGAAGACAGUUCUUGGGGGUCUAAGGUUCCUUUUUCUCUUUUUGCAGACAAAAGUACAUCUUAUUCCUGAACCGUAGCUGCAGACUUGAAUUUCCUUUGUACUGCUGGCCUCUUUCACCCGCAGCUCUGACACAGCUGAACCUCAGCCUCACCUCCUGUCAGGUCGACUCAGGUCCAUGUGGUCAACGGCCCCUCCGUCCUUGAGCCUUUCCAGGAAACCUUUCCAAAUCAAUCAGAAGUCAGAAGUGUGCGCUGGCAUCCCCAAAAUGUGAGCUCCAGAACCAUCAUUCAUUUCUUGCCUGGUUUGGGACAUCACUUCUGGUCUGGACCGGCCACUUUCCUGUUCUGGAAAUCCAGCCUAUUGGACUUCAUGGUUCUGAAGUCCAUUCAACCCGGUUGGAAGCCCUUUGGCUCUAAGCAUCAGAGGAAAUGAAGAAGGGACGUGAAGCUGUUACCAGGAUGGACUGCAUGAAAUCUCAUUAACUGAGAACACAAGGGACCAGACAAAACAGAUUUUGAAUUAAUUAGUUUGCAGUAUGUGAAAGCAUUGCUGAGAAAUAUAGGACAUUUUAUUGGCUAAGAAAUUCCCAUUCAUUAUAUUACUCGAUGCAAUGUUAAGUCAAAUGAUAAAUGGGAAUGAUGUUUCUUUAUUUUUGGGCAAAUGAUAGGUGGUUUGGGAAAUACUGUAUUCGGUUCUCAGCUAUCUGGAUGAAAUUUAUCAGAUUCUUGCUUAUUGUCAUAAUUUUAGGUUGUAUCCUGUCAGCUCUCAAGUUCUGUUCUUUAAUAAAUUUUUUCCUUUCCAUGUGAAUCCCGAGUGAUCUAAUGGAUAACCAGA